rnacentral:rRNA from 1 species
AGAGUUUGAUCCUGGCUCAGGACGAACGCUGGCGGCGUGCUUAACACAUGCAAGUCUACGAGAAAAGAGUAGCAAUACUCUGUGUAAAGUGGCGCACGGGUGAGUAACACGUAAGCAAUCUACCUUUAGGUUUGGAAUAACCCCGAGAAAUCGGGGCUAAUACCGGAUGAUGCAGCGGCACCGCAUGGUGAUGUUGUUAAAGUUCUCGAAACGCCUAUAGAUGAGCUUGCGUCUGAUUAGCUAGUUGGUGAGGUAACGGCCCACCAAGGCUACGAUCAGUAACUGGUCUGAGAGGAUGAUCAGUCACACUGGAACUGAGACACGGUCCAGACUCCUACGGGAGGCAGCAGUGAGGAAUAUUGGGCAAUGCCCGCAAGGGUGACCCAGCAACGCCGCGUGGAGGAUGAAGGCCGUAAGGUUGUAAACUCCUGUUAGAGGGGACGAAUGGUUUCGGUAACACCGAAAUUUGACUGUACCCUCAGAGAAAGCCCCGGCUAACUACGUGCCAGCAGCCGCGGUAAUACGUAGGGGGCAAGCGUUGUCCGGAUUUACUGGGUGUAAAGGGCGCGCAGGCGGAUUGAUAAGUCAGAGGUGAAAUCCUGCAGCUUAACUGCAGAACUGCCUUUGAAACUAUCAAUCUUGAGUACGGAAGAGAGAGACGGAAUUCCAGGUGUAGUGGUGAAAUACGUAGAUAUCUGGAAGAACACCAGUUGCGAAGGCGGUCUCUUGGUCCGUUACUGACGCUCAGGCGCGAAAGCGUGGGUAGCAAACAGGAUUAGAUACCCUGGUAGUCCACGCUGUAAACGAUGAAUACUAGGUGUUGGACCGCAAGGUUCAGUGCCGCAGCUAACGCAUUAAGA